CAAUCUGUACAAUUGAUAAAGAGCCUUUAAUAGUCAACUUCAUAAUACAUUUCCUGUGCAUGCAAUUUCUCUGCCUCACUGAGGCAUAAAUACAGUGUAGGAAAAAACACACCCUUGAAGGGUGUAGCAUAAAAAAUAUGAUGGCACUUGUGAGCAGCUGGGGGGUCACCCUGAGGGCACUCCCCGGUAUCGUGGCGGCGAUCGGGUGAAUCCCGAACCGCCGUGUGUGAGGGUGAGGCGGCCGUCGCGGAUCUCGCGAGCCGCGAGAUCCAAGAUGGCCGCCGGCCGCGUGGAUAGAGGUGUCUCGCUCGCGGCCGCGAGCGAGGUGAAGAAAAACGCGGCAAACUAAAAAUUAAACCCCGGCUACCCUCCACCCGUCCCCAACAGCCCCUGUGUGUGGAGAAAAAGCGGGUCCGCGUGGUGAGCGUGGCACCAACGGCCGCGCCGCCCGCGGGCCGCCGAAAGAGAAAUAAGGAGGAAAAUAACGCAGCAGAACAGAGACACAGAGGGGAAAUACUAAAGAGUAGGGGGGACAGUAUAGGCAGUCAGGGGUUAAAGUAGUACAAUAAAAACACAAUAAAAAAUACAGCAAUACAUAAGGUAUACUAGAGGUAAAAUUACUCUGACCUGUAUAUGGCUGGAGCAGCAAAGAAAGAGGAAGUGAUGUCAUAGACAGGGCCUUUUAUGGGCACCAUAUCUUUUUUCUGAUUGGUUGUUACUGUUUCUAUGCUGCUGGAGUUUUCAGUAAAG